UUAGGGUCAGUUGCUAGUCUAUAUAUGUUUCUGGACACCGUAAGUGAUGUGUGGCUUGUUGCGAGCGGAGGUCAGUAGUAACUGUUUGAACUGUGUUGGGGGAGGAUGUGUCCGGGUGUGGCUGACCAGCCGGUGGUAAAUACUCUUUCGGCUGCUACAGCUCUCCAGCCCAGGGUGUCGACUGCCUAGUCUUCAACUGCCUCCCAACAUGGUAGCAAGGUCCUGAGCUGAUGUACCCUAUGGCGAAGAUUGAGGAAGUAGUUUCCUGAAGUAAUGAAUGGCACUUUAUAACCAGCAGCCGGCACCAGCUCUGGACAACGUCGGAGUGGACAAGGCCCAGAUCCCGUGGGGAGGAAGGUCUACACUAACAUGUAAAAGAACAUAGAUUGGAAAGUCCUAAACUACAUUCCUGGAGUUUGAAGGUGUUGAUUGACAUUCAGAAUCAGAUUACAAUGGUAUCCAAGCAUUGACUGACUUGAAGUGUGGCUGUUCUACUCUGCACAUCUAUGAAGCUGGUUGUGGAGGGUCCUUCCAACAUAAUUUCAGGGAUGGUGUACAGAACAAUUGGUGAAAGUUAUGCUACAGAAACUAGUUGUGUGUGAGAAUUAGUUGGUAAAAAACAUGGAUUGGGAAGUCCUAAACUACAUCCUAGAGUUUGAAGGUGUUGAUUGUUUGACAUUCAGACUCAGGUUGUGGAGGGUCCUUCCAACAUAAUUUCAGGGAUGGUGUACAGAACAAUUGGUGAAAGUUAUGCUACAGAAAAUAGCAGUUGUGAGAAUUAGUUGGUAAAAAAUAUGGAUUGGGAAGUGCAGAACUACAUCCUGGAGUUUGAAAGUGUUGAAUGCUUAACAUUCAGAAUAAGGUGAUAAUGAAGAUUACAAUGGUACCAAAGCAGUGAGGCUAUUCUACUUCACACAUCCAAUAAACUGGUGGAUGUUGUCCUUGUUACUCUGGAGUUUUCCCUGUCCUUUUGGAGUCUUCAGUGGAUUGCAUCUAGGAGGAGCAGCUUCCCACAAC